UACGGAGGGUGCAAGCGUUAUCCGGAUUCACUGGGUUUAAAGGGUGCGUAGGUGGGCAGGUAAGUCAGUGGUGAAAUCUCCGGGCUUAACCCGGAAACUGCCGUUGAUACUAUUUGUCUUGAAUAUUGUGGAGGUAAGCGGAAUAUGUCAUGUAGCGGUGAAAUGCUUAGAUAUGACAUAGAACACCAAUUGCGAAGGCAGCUUACUACGCAAUGAUUGACACUGAGGCACGAAAGCGUGGGGAUCAAACAGG
rnacentral:rRNA from 1 species